rnacentral:lncRNA from 1 species
GAGACCUUUUCCUCAUCUCCCUUGUCCCCAAGACAUCAAACCCUAGUCGCCCUUUCACCCCUCACCGACUCUGCCUUACUCCGCCGCCGAAAAUCGCCCACGACAGUGGACCACCUCCAAACACCACUAAAUUAACCCACCAGAAUCCUUGUCAUCUCCUCUUCCCACAUCCCUAACCCAUUCCCCUCGAAUCCCUCUCAAACCCUUCCUAUUUCAGAUCUGAAAUUCAAACCUAAAAACCCUAGCUCACCCAAAUAAUCCCAAACUCACAUCCUAUAAUCACCAGGCCUCCCCAAACUCAAAACCCUUAACAAUUUUUCCCAAACAAUCUCUGGAACUCGCCGAAUCUUGGAUCUAGGUUUAACCUAAUUUUGGAGUUUGGGGAUUUCUUGGAAGUUUCUAUUCAUCUUAGCUAGAAACUUGCCCAAAUAGGUUAUUCUUGACCAGAAUGUUCGUUUGGGUCAGUUUCAAGCCAUGUCGAAACAAUCUGAGCCUCGCCGGUCUUCCGCCUUUGAUUUUGUUGAUCAUCUUGCUGAUUAAACCGGUACUCCCUGGCCUUUAGUCAUUUAUUAAUCUCUGUUCUGUUAAUUAUUUGAUCCGCCAUUGGUGUUAUUUGGGCUUCAUGUUUAGAUAAUUAGGGUCAGACGAGUCAAAUGAUUUGUUUAGGGUACUUGAUGACAAUUUGGGUUUGUUUUCUGUUUGAUAUUUAGUUUCUAUACCUGUUUUCUUUGUUUGGUUUGAGUCAGUUAGGUUAAUCCCAGCAUUUUGUUCAAUACUUAGUUAGACGUUUGUGAUUUCCCCUCUCAGUAAUCCAUUGACAGGCUUUAAUAACUUUUCUUUUGAAAUUUGUGUUAGUCUUAGGUUUGAGUCAUUUCUGUUUCUGUUCAUGGUUAGUUUGGUUCAUGAUUAUUGAAUUGAAGCAUAGUUUGAAGGAUUAAUUGCAUUUCCGUUUGUCUUUUGAUUCUAUUUUCCAAUGCUUGCCUGCUUUGUUCUUGUUUGCCAUAAUUUGCCAAUCCAUAGAAACUUAGGAGAGGUUAAUUGAACCAUUAAAAAACUGAAGGUUUUAAGCUUGAAAUGAGAUAGGGACCUUUAGAUAAAUCCUACACUUAGAAGCUUCUAGAAGAGAGGGAAGCUAUCCCUAUUUGGUUAGCACAAAAAUGCUGAGCCAAUAGGGGAUAACCAACUGUCCAGGUGGUUAAGAAGAUGCCUUUUACAAGCUAGGAAUAUUUCCCAUUUUCUGUUUUAAGCACAUGGCCUUAGAGGCCUAUAAAAGAGUGCCCUUUCCUUCACUUUAAAAAUAGACUAGGAGCAUCAUUUUUCUACACUAAAAUUAUGAAAAACUCAUCAGAAAUCUCGACCCUAGAUAAAAGCCCCCAAUGUUCUUGCAUUGUUUGAAGUCUUCUUCUGAUUUUCACAAAAAAUAUUAGAAGAACUCCUUUGAAAUUCCUGGGUUUGGAUCAAGGUUGAAACAUGGUUUAAAUGGUAGGAGCUAUGAUGUUGCUGCUGGAUUUCUAUUUGUUUUUUUCAUUUCUACUGACUUCAGGGGGGUCUUUUUCUUCUAUUUGUUAUAUUCAGGUACUCCUCAUCAGCUUUGAAAUACAAAAGUGAAGAACAAUAUGCUUGGUUUGAAGUUGAAAUUCCAGAAUUUGUUUAGUUUAAUGUUUGCUUGGUUUCCUUCUUCUAUUUGUAGUUCUCUUGCCAUUUGUUUAGAUUUUCUUAAAAAUGAUGUUUAGUUUAUCAUUCAGUCACAUUGCCAGGCUUGAAAGAUGGAGUUGUUUAAUCGUUUCAUAUGGAUCUGAACAGUUUGGCUAUACUCAGGGGUUGUAAUAUUUGGGAACUGUUUUAGAACUAUUAAUCAUAUGAUAUUUGUAUAUGUUUGAAUGAAAACCUUUAGCUAAAGUUUAAUGUUAUUUAGGGAAAGAUUAGU